rnacentral:tRNA from 1 species
AUUUAUAUAGUAUAAAUAGUACAAUUAAUUUCCAAUUAAUUAGUUUAAUAAUUUUAAUAUAAAUA